rnacentral:rRNA from 1 species
UCCACGUGUAGCGGUGAAAUGCGUAGAGAUGUGGAGGAACACCAGUGGCGAAGGCGACUCUCUGGUCUGAACUGACGCUGAGGCGCGAAAGCGUGGGUAGCGAACAGGAUUAGAUACCCUGGUAGUCCACGCCGUAAAGAUGAGUGCUAGGUGUUAGGGGGUUUCCGCCCCUUAGUGCUGAAGUUAACGCAUUAAGCCUCCGCCUGGAGUACGGCCGCAAGGCUGAAACUCAAAAGAAUUGACGGGGGCCCGCACAAGCGGUGGAGCAUGUGGUUAAUUCGAAGCAACGCGAAGAACCUUACCAGGUCUUGACAUCCCAUUGACCGCUAUGGAGACAUAGUUUCGCCCUUCGGGGGCAAUGGUGACAGGUGGUGCAUGGUUGUCGUCAGCUCGUGUCGUGAGAUGUUGGGUUAAGAAUCCCGCAACGAGCGCAACCCUUAUUCUUAGUUGCCAGCAUUUAGUUGGGCACUCUAAGACUGCCGGUAAAAAGACAAACCGGAGGAAGGUGGGGAUGACGUCAAAUCAUCAUGCCCCUUAUGACCUGGGCUACACACGUGCCCGACAAAAUGGAUGGUACAAAGGGCAGCGAAGCCGCGAGGUGAAGCAAAUCCCAUAAAACCAUUCUCAGUUCAUUGCAGGCUGCAACUCGCCUGCAUGAAGCCGGAAUCGCUAGUAAUCGCGGAUCAGCUUAUGCCGCGGUGAUACGUUCCCGGGCCUUGUACACACCGCCCGUCACACCACGAGAGUUG